rnacentral:rRNA from 1 species
AGUCGAGGGGCAGCAUUUUAGUUUGCUUGCAAACUAAAGAUGGCGACCGGCGCACGGGCUGAGCUAACACGCUAUCCAACCUGCCGAUAACUCGGGGAUAGCCUUUCGAAAGAAAGAUUAAUAUCCGAUAGUAUAUUAAAACCGCAUGGUUUUACUAUUAAAGAAUUUCGGUUAUCGAUGGGGAUGCGUUCCAUUAGUUUGUUGGCGGGGUAACGGCCCACCAAGACUACGAUGGAUAGGGGUUCUGAGAGGAAGGUCCCCCACAUUGGAACUGAGACACGGUCCAAACUCAUACGGGAGGCAGCAGUGAGGAAUAUUGGUCAAUGGACGAGAGUCUGAACCACCCAAGUAGCGUGAAGGAUGACGGCCCUAUGGGUUGUAAACUUCUUUUAUAUGGGAAUAAAGUAUUNCCACGUGUGGGAUUUUGUAUGUACCAUAUGAAUAAGGAUCGGCUAACUCCGUGCCAGCAGCCGCGGUAAUACGGAGGAUCCGAGCGUUAUCCGGAUUUAUUGGGUUUAAAGGGAGCGUAGGUGGAUUGUUAAGUCAGUUGUGAAAGUUUGCGGCUCAACCGUAAAAUUGCAGUUGAAACUGGCAGUCUUGAGUACAGUAGAGGUGGGCGGAAUUCGUGGUGUAGCGGUGAAAUGCUUAGAUAUCACGAAGAACUCCGAUUGCGAAGGCAGCUCACUAGACUGCAACUGACACUGAUGCUCGAAAGUGUGGGUAUCAAACAGGAUUAGAUACCCUGGUAGUCCACACAGUAAACGAUGAAUACUCGCUGUUUGCGAUAUACAGUAAGCGGCCAAGCGAAAGCAUUAAGUAUUCCACCUGGGGAGUACGCCGGCAACGGUGAAACUCAAAGGAAUUGACGGGGGCCCGCACAAGCGGAGGAACAUGUGGUUUAAUUCGAUGAUACGCGAGGAACCUUACCCGGGCUUAAAUUGCAUUUGAAUAAUCUGGAAACAGGUUAGCCGCAAGGCAAAUGUGAAGGUGCUGCAUGGUUGUCGUCNAGCUCGUGCCGUGAGGUGUCGGCUUAAGUGCCAUAACGAGCGCAACCCUUAUCUUUAGUUACUAACAGGUCAUGCUGAGGACUCUAAAGAGACUGCCCUCGUAAAAUGUGAGGAAGGUGGGGAUGACGUCAAAUCAGCACGGCCCUUACGUCCGGGGCUACACACGUGUUACAAUGGGGGGUACAGAAGGCAGCUACCUGGCGACAGGAUGCUAAUCCCAAAAACCUCUCUCAGUUCGGAUCGAAGUCUGCAACCCGACUUCGUGAAGCUGGAUUCGCUAGUAAUCGCGCAUCAGCCAUGGCGCGGUGAAUACGUUCCCGGGCCUUGUACACACCGCCCGUCAAGCCAUGAAAGCCGGGGGUACCUGAAGUACGAACCGCAAGGAGCUCCUAGG